rnacentral:misc_RNA from 1 species
UUUCCGUGGGUGAACCUGCGGAAGGAUCAUUACUGAGUGAGGGCCCUCUGGGUCCAACCUCCCACCCGUGUUUAUUAUACCUUGUUGCUUCGGUGAGCCCGCCUCACGGCCGCCGGGGGGCAUCUGCCCCCGGGCCCGCGCCCACCGAAGACACCUAGAACUCUGUAUGAAGAUUGCAGUCUGAGCGAAAACUAAAUAAGUUAAAACUUUCAACAACGGAUCUCUUGGUUCCG